AUUUGCAAGCGCGACGUAGCAGUCGCUGGCGACGCUCGAUUCGGCAUUCAGCUCGGAUACACCAGCUCUCGUGCUCGCGUGCGAAAUUCGGUGUCAAAGUGAAACAUUUUACGUGAGAUCUCUGCUCGCAAAGCAGCAACAGCAACAACAACAGCUGAAGGGCCAGCCCACGUAGGAGCUGUGCAGCGCCAGUGAAAGUGGAAGAGGCAGAGACAGAGGCAGAGGAAGUGGAAGUGGAAGCGACAGUAGCACUGGCAGUGGCAGUGGCUCAGCCAAGUUCAAAAUCAUCGCCUGACAAUGACAAAGCGCUCCACUGGGCGGCCAGCAGCAGCAGCAGCAGCAGCAGCAGUAGAAGCAGCAGCGGCAGCAGCAACGUGGCGCACGCCAGCAG